AAAAAUUUUAUAGACUGCAUGGCAGGCCGUAUUUUUUCUCUACUUCGAGCCCUGAAUAGAUCUGACAUUACAGUUUCUGAGAAAGUGCGGAUUGACACAACUACAUCAAAAAUACAAGCAGAAUGUAUUUUUCAGAUUGUACCCCUAUCGACAGUAUAUCAAUAGUAAUAUUCCUAUCGAUAGUAUCUCUAUCCCUACUAGUUAAAUAUCGCUAAUAAUUAAUCAGGAAAAUUAUCUGAAUCGCCUUAGCUGAAAAGAUGCCGGCAUAUCAAUUUUGGAUCGGUUAUCAUAGCAGAAAAUGUUUUUAAGAUGCAUAUCCUGUUAGAAAAUUGACUCCCUGUGAAACACCGAUACAUGAUAUACCUUAAUAAAAUUGAUCAUUUGAAGGAACAUUACCUAUACUUACUUUAAAGUGCGACUAACCCCCCAAAUAUAAUGGUAUGUGUAAUAUUUGGGUCAUUCUAUAAGAAGAAAUGUAAUGUAUCUUUAUCGUAAAAAACCUCAUCUUGAUCAACUUUUUCACCGUCAAAGUUCCAGAUAUGAUGUCAUUUAGUGAAUUUUUGGUACAAAAAACAAAGGUAAACUAAUUUUCAAUUCACCUUAUGACAUCAUAUCCGGAAACUUUGACAGUGACAAUUUUUAUCAAGAUGGGAUUUUUUAUUGUAAAUAUAUAUAUUACAUUUCGUCUUCGAAUGACCCAAAUAUUACACAUACCAAAAAUCAUAUUAGUGGCUAGUCGCACUUUAAACAUAUUUUACAUUUGUUUUCGUAUUAAGGAAUCUAGAGAAUGCAGUUCUGGCAAAUUAUUAAUACCUUCCAUUGCUUUGCUCGUUCUCCUACAAGUCUGGUUGCUGAUGCUGCAAAAGGAAUAGAAUUGCUCGUUUCUCACGGAGAGUCGGAUUAAUUUGCAUAUUUAAAUAGAAGUUUCAUUAUGUUAUUCAAUAUUGUACAGUUUUAGUAUUUAAUUAGAUAUAAAGUGUAUAUUGAUAUACGGAUACUGUUUCGCCGCAUACCGGAUGGUCCCGGAUAUUAGUCUACCACAUAGACCGGUCAGAGGAAAAUGAUAACUGGAUACUAAUGGUGAUACUUGUGGCAAUACUUAUAGUCCAUCGUCGUAGUAUGUGCUUUAUCUCGUAUAUGAUAAGCCAUGCCUUGUCAGAUGUUGGGACCCUAGGUAGCGGCGCUACCUGCAAGUGCCUGAAGCUAACUGUAAUCCUUUGUCAGAAGGUCUUAUGCAUGAUUAAGUAAAGUUGAAAAUUUCAAUUUUUCCGAAUACAUUUUGCAAUAUUUAUCGACCAGAUUUCAUAAGAGUCGUACUCAAGAUGUAAAUUCAUCAAAUGAUGCCAUCAAGAACUUUUCUGUUCUGUGGCCGAAUUUUAUUCAUUAGCCGACGAUCUUGUCGACUUGAUCAUAUGAAAAUUUUCCAGCAAUUGGGUUUCGGCAAAUUAGCGGACACUCAAUUUUGACAAUCAGGAAACAUAACUAAAAAAAAACGGUCCCCUGUCGCAUUUGCAAGCUUCAAGUGAAGCCGGGCAAGUUUGGACCACGCAGGGCUACCUGUAAAAAAACUAAAUAUACAGGCAUGUAAUAUAUAUAGCGGGAAAUCUGCAGCAGAAAGCAGUUUACAUCUCGAAAACGUAUUCCGCUUGACCAGUAUUGUCCCUUUUUCGCAUUUUUAACGCACAAAAAAUGACAAAGGAACACUUUUUCGGUUUCAUAGUUCUACUAAAGUUACUGUACCAUGCAAUACUAUCCGGUAAAUAUCUGGCGAAAUGUUAUCGGUACAUCCUUAAUAUAACUAUAUAUAAGGCUUGGCGGCACGUUAAUAAUUGGGUAUUGCUGUAAUUCAAAAUCCAAUAUACAAGCAUGCAUGCAAAAAUCAACAUGUAACACGUUGUUUAGCGAAACACGUUGUUUAGCGUUUAAGAGAUUUGAUUUACCACAGGAGACCCAGGUGCGGGCAAAUAGAGCCCGGGUGUCCACGGGGCUGACACCACCUGAAGCUUUUUUUGACGUUAUUUAGUUUAUCAUUUGAUUGUAGUUUUAUUGCGCACUGAACACAAGAUCAACGGACCGCGCGUAAGAAGGGCUCUGCCGCGUACGCGAAUGAAGAUGGUUGUCAAAAUGAACAGAUUUAUAAGGCCAAAUAAUAUAUAACAAAUAGAAAAGAGACUUAAUAAUUAUCGUAUAUUGUAUAGAUCAAGUAAUUUUUACGAAAUAUUUCUGGAAUAGUAAGAAAAUCCAGAUACUAAUAAUAUAUUCAAAACUAUUUAAUGCUUAAUUAAGAUUUUUAUUGCAGUUUAUUAAAUAUUUAUACCGUA